UAGUUUCAUAUUUAGGAGCUACUCUUUUUUUGAAUGCAUCAGGUGAUCAAGCUACGGGUGGGUAAAGAGCAACCUAAUAUGCAGGUGUUUCCUGCUGAGCAAGAGAAAGGAACCAGAACAGUGAUCAACUACUGCUACACUAGGUGACUUAGCUGGAAAACUACGAGGUUUUAGGGGUGAAGCUGGUGCAAAAAGAACCGAAGAUGGGAACAUCGUGCAUGCUAAUCCUAAGACUACUGGGAUUACAUCUAUUAAUGCAGCUUCUACUCCCA
rnacentral:lncRNA from 1 species